rnacentral:rRNA from 1 species
GACGAACGCUGGCGGCGUGCUUAACACAUGCAAGUCGAACGGAAAGGCCCUGCUUUUGUGGGGUGCUCGAGUGGCGAACGGGUGAGUAACACGUGAGUAACCUGCCCUUGACUUUGGGAUAACUUCAGGAAACUGGGGCUAAUACCGGAUAGGAGCUCCUGCUGCAUGGUGGGGGUUGGAAAGUUUCGGCGGUUGGGGAUGGACUCGGGGCUUAUCAGCUUGUUGGUGGGGUAGUGGCUUACCAAGGCUUUGACGGGUAGCCGGCCUGAGAGGGUGACCGGCCACAUUGGGACUGAGAUACGGCCCAGAGUCCUACGGGAGGCAGCAGGGGGGAAUAUUGCACAAUGGGCGGAAGCCUGAUGCAGCAACGCCGCGUGCGGGAUGACGGCUUUCGGGUUGUAAACCGCUUUCGCCUGUGACGAAGCGUGAGUGACGGUAAUGGGUAAAGAAGCACCGGCUAACUACGUG